UACGUAGGGUGCAAGCGUUAAUCGGAAUACUGGGCGUAAAGCGUGCGCAGGCGGUUGUGCAAGACCGAUGUGAAAUCCCCGGGCUUAACCUGGGAAUGGCAUUGGGACUGCAAGGCUUGAGUUUGGCAGAGGAGACUGGAAUUCCUGGUGUAGCAGUGAAAUGCGUAGAUAUCAGGAGGAAUACCGAUGGCGAAGGCAGGUCUCUGGGCUAGAACUGACGCUCAUGCACGAAAGCGUGGGGAGCAAACAGG
rnacentral:rRNA from 1 species